GGGAAAGGCGAAAAGAACCCCGGCGAGGGGAGUGAAAAAGAACCUGAAACCGUGUACGUACAAGCAGUGGGAGCACAGGUUUACCUGUGUGACUGCGUACCUUUUGUAUAAUGGGUCAGCGACUUAUAUUCUGUAGCAAGGUUAACCGAAUAGGGGAGCCGGAGGGAAACCGAGUCUUAAUUGGGCGUUAAGUUGCAGGGUAUAGACCCGAAACCCGGUGAUCUAGCCAUGGGCAGGUUGAAGGUUGGGUAACACUAACUGGAGGACCGAACCGACUAAUGUUGAAAAAUUAGCGGAUGACCUGUGGCUGGGGGUGAAAGGCCAAUCAAACCGGGAGAUAGCUGGUUCUCCCCGAAAGCUAUUUAGGUAGCGCCUCGUGAAUUCAUCUCCGGGGGUAGAGCACUGUUUCGGCUAGGGGGCCAUCCCGGCUUACCAACCCGAUGCAAACUGCGAAUACCGGAGAAUGUUAUCACGGGAGACACACGGCGGGUGCUAACGUCCGUCGUGAAGAGGGAAACAACCCAGACCGCCAGCUAAGGUCCCAAAGUCAUGGUUAAGUGGGAAACGAUGUGGGAAGGCCCAGACAGCCAGGAUGUUGGCUUAGAAGCAGCCAUCAUUUAAAGAAAGCGUAAUAGCUCACUGGUCGAGUCGGCCUGCGCGGAAGAUGUAACGGGGCUAAACCAUGCACCGAAGCUGCGGCAGCGA
rnacentral:rRNA from 1 species